rnacentral:rRNA from 1 species
GACGAACGCUGGCGGCGUGCUUAACACAUGCAAGUCGAACGGAAAGGCCCCUUUGGGGGUACUCGAGUGGCGAACGGGUGAGUAACACGUGAGUAACCUGCCCUUGACUUCGGGAUAACUUCAGGAAACUGGGGCUAAUACCGGAUAGGAAUCCUUGCUGCAUGGUGGGGGUUGGAAAGCUUGGGCGGUUUUGGAUGGACUCGCGGCUUAUCAGCUUGUUGGUGGGGUAGUGGCUUACCAAGGCUUUGACGGGUAGCCGGCCUGAGAGGGCGACCGGCCACAUUGGGACUGAGAUACGGCCCAGACUCCUACGGGAGGCAGCAGUGGGGAAUAUUGCACAAUGGGCGGAAGCCUGAUGCAGCAACGCCGCGUGGGGGAUGACGGCCUUCGGGUUGUAAACCGCUUUCAGCAGGGGCGAAGCUUGUGGUGACGGUACCUGCAGAAGAAGCACCGGCUAACUACGUG